AGUGCCUACGGGGGGCAGCAGUGAGGAAUAUUGGUCAAUGGGCGCAAGCCUGAACCAGCCAAGUCGCGUGAGGGAAGACGGCGCUACGGGUUGUAAAGCUCUUUUGCCAGGGAGCAAGCCUGAGCACGUGUGCCCAGGCGGAGAGUACCCGGAGAAAAAGCAUCGGCUAACUCCGUGCCAGCAGCCGCGGUAAUACGGAGGAUGCGAGCGUUAUCCGGAUUUAUUGGGUUUGAAGGGUGCGCAGGCGGGCUGUUAAGCCGGCGGUAAAAAUUAAGGGCUCAACCCUGU
rnacentral:rRNA from 1 species